UGGGGAAUAUUGGACAAUGGGGGCAACCCUGAUCCAGCAAUGCCGCGUGUGUGAAGAAGGCCUUCGGGUUGUAAAGCACUUUAGUUGGGGAAGAAGGGAUGUUGUUUAAGAGAUGACAUUUUUGACUGUACCCAAAGAAUAAGCACCGGCUAACUCUGUGCCAGCAGCCGCGGUAAUACAGAGGGUGCAAGCGUUAAUCGGAGUUACUGGGCGUAAAGGGCGCGUAGGCGGUUAUAUAAGUUGGAUGUGAAAGGCCUGGGCUUAACCUAGGAAUUGCAUACAAGACUGUAUGACUGGAGUACUGUAGAGGGUAGUGGAAUUUCCGGUGUAGCGGUGAAAUGCGUAGAGAUCGGAAGGAACACCAGUGGCGAAGGCGGCUACCUGGACAGAUACUGACGCUGAGGCGCGAGAGCGUGGGGAGCAAACAG
rnacentral:rRNA from 1 species